GAAAACCAUCUUCCACACCUCCAAACUUCAAAUUUCUUCAUCCUUUCUCUUCCUAAUCCAUAGAAAAACUAAACCCUUACUUUUUCCCCCACUUUAAACGCAUUUGGUACCCCCAAAAACUAUUCCAAAGUUGCUGUCAAAAUGGAAUCCGAGAAGAAGGUUAAAGCUUCUUCAACAUAGAGUUGGGUUUUCGAAAGCCAUAUCCUCACCCUUAAAGCUACAAGUUUGAGCUUCUAGAAACUGAACUUUUGAUUAGUUUUCAAGGGUAUGAAAAAUAUUUUCCUUAAGCGUGGUACCGAGACCAAGGUCUCUCCAUGUUCAUGUUAUGUACCAAGAUCAAGGUCUCUUCAUGUUCAUGUUAUAUUCGGAUGCCACAAGUUUACUUGGUUUGGGUCGUUCCUCCAG